UUUCCGAAGGGUUGCACUUGGGUCUCCUGCAGUGGGGGAUCAGGGCGGGUGGGUGGUCUCAGAGUGGAUCAGGGUGUUCUCGGAGAGAGGGUUGGCACCUAGGAUUCCUCUGGAAGUGGGUGGCUUUUGGGUGAUCUCACCGAGAGGGCCUGGGACCCGGCUCCGAACAGGUCCAGGCUUCUUUUUUGUCGUGUCGUCUUUGUUUUAGCAAGUGCCUGUCAAGCUUGGCCUGUCUCAUCGUGUGGCCUGUGUGUCUGCAGCGUUCCUGUGCCUGGCAUUUCCUGUCUGACAACUUUCCCCGAGUCCUUGAAUCUCCCUGGGGUUGUUCACGUGUCUGGGUACAGCGUGCAUGACCACGGCUGUCCCCGGCAUCUCCUGGAUGGUGGGGGACGUGACAGGGUUUCUCUGACUCCGUGGACCAUUUUCUAUUGUGAUUCUGUGGCCUAAAUUUUGAGACAAGUUUUCACUAAGUUGCUGAAUUGCCCAGAGUUGACCAUGAUUCCCUGCUUAGUGCUAGAAGAAGAAGAAGAAGAGGAAGAGGAGGAGGAGGAAGAAGAGGAGGAAGAGGAGGAGGAGGAGGAAGAAGAAGAAGAAGAAAGCAAAAACCAAACACAUGGAAAAUGCCAGUGAUGCAAAAUCAAGUACAGUAAAAGAUGCAUCUGUUUUCACCCUGACUCCCCCCAGUUUUUGCAUACCUCCAGAAAUAUUUUAUACAGAUAGAUCUGCGUGCUGAAGCAAACAAAAAAAAUCUUUGUUUUCUACAUAGCAUCCUGUACCUUGCUGCUUUCUGAGCCCUCAGAGAUUUCUAUCAAGGUCCAGAGAAGCGAGUGAGUCUUCUCUCCCCCUCAGUGAACAAACCCAUGCUGCUAACAGCCCGACCAUUGCUUUCUGAGCACAGUUGAGGUCAUUUCCAUCCAGGACGGUUUUGCUACAAAUGUCUCCUCCCUGUCUGUCUGCCCAGACAUCGGAACUGGCCUUUGAACCGGGGUGGUUGCGUGACAAGAUCAAGCCGCACACACAGUCUCCUGGGGACGCCAGGGUCCUCAGGCCACUGGUAGCGAUGGCGGGUAACUCUGCUGAGCACAGAUAUGGCUCCCUGGUUCUGCGAUCGACCACACAAGGUGGUCGCCGGGGUCCAGCCCAUUUCACAGAUGAGGAAACAGAGGCUUGGAGAGGUGGAGGGAUUUGCUUAGGAUCACACACCUAGCAAGAGGCGGUGUUGGGACUGAAGUCAAGCCAUGUGAUCCUAUGCUGUGCUGGUCUUCAGUUGGAAACGUGUCCAGGCACACGGUACCAUGUUGGAAACAAUCCCACAGCAGCCAAAUCUGAGUACCACUUCAUUUUGUUUUACUUUAUUUCUCAGUAUUACGGAUUGAAUCCAGGACCUUCAUACCUAACUAUAAUAUCCUCAGCUCCUUCAUAAGAUCCUUAAUUUGGAAAUAGAGUCUGUCUCUCUAAGUCACAAAGUUGCCCAGCUUGGGUUUGAACUCAUUGUCCUCCUGCCUCAGCCUCCCACAG